UACGUAGGGUGCGAGCGUUAAUCGGAAUUACUGGGCGUAAAGCGUGCGCAGGCGGUUCGCCAAGUCAGGUGUGAAAUCCCCGGGCUUAACCUGGGAAUUGCGCUUGAAACUAGCGGGCUUGAGUGUGGCAGAGGGGGGGUGGGAAUUCCACGGUGUAGCAGUGAAAUGCGUAGAGAUGUGGAGGGAACACCGAUGGCGAAGGCAGCCCCCCUGGGUCAACACUGACGCUCAUGCACGAAAGCGUGGGGAGCGAAACAGG
rnacentral:rRNA from 1 species